UAACGCGUGGGCAACCUGCCUUAUACAGGGGGAUAACAGCUGGAAACAGCUGCUAAUACCGCAUAAGCGCACAGCGGCGCAUGACGCAGUGUGAAAAACUGAGGUGGUAUAAGAUGGGCCCGCGUCUGAUUAGCUGGUUGGGAGGGUAACGGCCUACCAAGGCGACGAUCAGUAGCCGGCCUGAGAGGGCGGACGGCCACAUUGGGACUGAGACACGGCCCAGACUCCUACGGGAGGCAGCAG
rnacentral:rRNA from 1 species